GCCGAGGUGGCGGAAUUGGUAGACGCGUCGUCUUGAGGGGGCGAUGGGAGAUAAUCCCGUGCGGGUUCAAGUCCCGCCCUCGGCA
rnacentral:tRNA from 1 species